rnacentral:rRNA from 1 species
UCAGACGAUGCGUCACUGCAUAUCAAUAAGCGGAGGAAAAGAAACUAACAAGGAUUCCCCUAGUAACGGCGAGUGAAGCGGGAAGAGCUCAAAUUUGAAAUCUUAAAGGGUUUCCCUUUACGAAUUGUAGUUUAAAGAAGUGUUUUCUGUUGAGGUUUUGGUAAAAGUUCUUUGGAAUAGGACAUCAUAGAGGGUGAGAAUCCCGUAUUUGACCUUUACUUUCAACUUUGUGAUACACUUUCAAAGAGUCGGAUUGUUUGGGAAUGCAGUCCAAAAUGGGUGGUAAAUUUCAUCUAAAGCUAAAUAUUGGCGAGAGACCGAUAGCGAACAAGUACCGUGAGGGAAAGAUGAAAAGAACUUUGAAAAGAGAGUUAAACAGUACGUGAAAUUGUCAAAAGGGAAGCGUUUGACACCAGUGUUGUUUUUCUGAAAAUCAAUUAAAGAACUGUUUAUGCUAAGUUGUUUAGACUUUAUCAGCUAACUGUUUAGUUUUGAGCUUUUCUUUAAUGCACUUUUCAGUUAACAAGUCAACAUCAAUUUCUUUUGCCUGUAAAAAAGCUUGAGGAAGGUGGCUUGAGAUUCGUCUUAAGUGUUUAUAGCCUCUUGCCUAUGCAGUCGGAGAGAUUGAGGUCUGCAGCGUAGAUCCUUCGGGGCUAAAUGCAUUUGUGCUAAGUUAUAGCAUUUUAUAGACAACUUGUUGACUAUGAUUUGUCUCGUAGCUUACUCGCUUAUGUUAUUUUACCUACGCUUAGGAUGUUGAGCGCAUGUCUCUCUCU